CUAGACCUGUAGUGUAGAGAUAACAAAUUGAAUUAGGGGGAAGGCAGGGGCUGAGAAGGCUGGGGACUGGGACAAAGUCCUUUUAGCCAAGCAACAGCCUUCUCCUAGCGCACAGAACAGGCUGGGCCGCGUGUCCCCGCCAACCACCAGGAGGCGGUACUGGGUACUGUGGGGUCAGUCCUUGGCUGGGGAGGACCUUACAAAGCACCAGGAUUUUCUGGGCCCGUUCCUUCCUGCAUAAAAUUGGCCUCGGCAGUACCUGCCUUCUCGUUUUCACGACAGCACGUUGAACUACAUAGCAUAAAGUCGGCGGGCCACUGUCACCUAGCAGCUGGGCCUGGUCCUGCCCACAUCCUCAUCCUCACCUACGGCAGGUCCUCUGCCUCCCGCUCCCUUCUAUACCAGAGAAUUUAGACCUUGAAAAGGACUUUUAAAAGGUAUGGCUGUGCAGGACUCCCGAUUGUAUAUCAGAACAGAGAGAGGACAGCAGUCAGUCAAGAGGCUCUGUAUGCUCAAGUCACAAGGAAGCUGGGCAAAAGGCACAACUACCGCUUAAAUGAUCUCAUUUGUGAUGUCUCUCGGAGGGAUCUAAUGUUCUCUUGCAGAGAGUCAGGUUGGUCUUACCUCGAAAAUUACUUCCCUCGAAAUUCCUGGGUGUCAGCCAGAGCAGAAGGCAGAACAAGAAGAGUAAGAAGGGCCCUUGUCAUUCUUAGGUUCAUCCUACUUCCUGUCUGAGUUUGAACUUUGUUUUAUCCAAACAAAAUAUAGUCUUUUUUAAAAGACUUA